AUUGAACGCUGGCGGCAGGCCUAACACAUGCAAGUCGAACGAGUGGCGGACGGGUGAGUAAUGUCUGGGAAACUGCCCGAUGGAGGGGGAUAACUACUGGAAAGGGUAGCUAAUACCGCAUACCAUCGGAUGUGCCCAGAUGGGAUUAGCUAGGAGGUGGGGUAACGGCUCACCUAGGCGACGACCCCUAGCGGGUCUGAGAGGAUGACCAGCCACACUGGAACUUAGACACGGUCCAGACUCCUACGGGAGGCAGCAGUGGGGAAUAUUGCACAAUGGGCGCAAGCCUGAUGCAGCCAUGCCGCGUGUAUGAAGAAGGCCUUCGGGUUGUAAAGUACUUUCAGCGAGGAGGCGUUACUCGCAGAAGAAGCACCGGCUAACUCCGUGCCAGCAGCCGCGGUAAUAC
rnacentral:rRNA from 1 species